CGCCGCGUGAGGGAUGACGGCCUAUCGGGUUGUAAACCUCUUUUAGUAGGGAAGAAGCGAAAGUGACGGUACCUGCAGAAAAAGCACCGGCUAACUACGUGCCAGCAGCCGCGGUAAUACGUAGGGUGCAAGCGUUGUCCGGAAUUAUUGGGCGUAAAGAGCUCGUAGGCGGUUUGUCGCGUCUGCUGUGAAAUCCCGAGGCUCAACCUCGGGCUUGCAGUGGGUACGGGCAGACUAGAGUGCGGUAGGGGAGAUUGGAAUUCCUGGUGUAGCGGUGGAAUGCGCAGAUAUCAGGAGGAACACCGAUGGCGAAGGCAGAUCUCUGGGCCGUAACUGACGCUGAGGAGCGAAAGCAUGGGGAGCGAACAGGAUUAGAUACCCUGGUAGUCCAUGCCGUAAACGUUGGGCGCUAGAUGUAGGGACCUUUCCACGGUUUCUGUGUCGUAGCUAACGCAUUAAGCGCCCCGCCUGGGGAGUACGGCCGCAAGGCUAAAACUCAAAGGAAUUGACGGGGGCCCGCACAAGCGGCGGAGCAUGCGGAUUAAUUCGAUGCAACGCGAAGAACCUUACCAAGGCUUGACAUACACCGGAAACGGCCAGAGAUGGUCGCCCCCUUGUG
rnacentral:rRNA from 2 species